GAGCCACUUUUCUGCUUUUUCUGCUGCCAGGGGAGAGGAAGCUGGCGGUGCCUGGAAGGUUGGGAGGAGAUAGAGCACGGACAGGUGACCCCAAGUGACCAAAGGGAUAUUCCAGACCAUGUGACAUCGUGCUCAGGAUAUAAGGUCACAGAGGAUUUGGUUCAAAGCAACCUGAUACUUCAGAAGGCACUGGAUGCAUCUGGACCUGUGGAAGACUCAUGAUGAGAGAUUUGAUGAUGACACAUAACUUGAAAAGUACUCCUCACAUCAAAAGGAAACUCAAGAAAAAGAAAGAAUUUUUCAGAACAGAAACGAAAAUGUUCGGCAACAUAGACAGUGGAAUCAAAUGCGCACUCGGCAGCUUUGCAGAUGACACGAAGCUCAGCGGGGAAGUUGUGGAUACCCAUCAAGGCUGGGUAGAGUGAGGCCC